AUGCCACACAUACCGCACAGCACCACCCAAGAAACUAAACUGCUCGGCCACAUUGAGGUCAACGCACGCAACGCAGCCACGUUGGGCGGCCGUUGCAGGCACCGCUCCACGGCGGAUGAAGUCGAACAGAGGGAGGGACUCACCUGGGACCGUCAGGGGUUCUUCUCGUGCACCACGGGGAAGGAGAAGGAGAAGUGGAGAAGGGGCAUGGUAGAGGGUGGCCGCGCCAUCGGGGCCAAUCGUGGCGGCUUGGGAGUGGUCGCCGGGGCAGAUACCCAACUUCCCAUCGCAGGAGGAGCCCGCAUGGUGGAGAUGGAGCACCGCACUCCUCUUUGUACCGCACAGAAGGAGGAGGGGAGCUUGGAGGGAGCCGCGCUCCUCGUCGCCGGUGGUACUAACCGUUGCACAACCAGAUGGCCGCAGUUGGAGCGAGAUUUGAUCCAGAUCCACGAGAAGGCACCAACUGCAUGA
rnacentral:rRNA from 1 species